CGGAAUGAAGUGAUAACAAAAGGUUAGAUGAUGUUCUACGGAAUGAAGUGAUAACAAAAGGUUAGAUGAUGUUCUACGGAAUGAAGUGAUAACAAAAGGUUAGAUGAUGUUCUACGGAAUGAAGUGAUAACAAAAGGUUAGAUGAUGUUCUACGGAAUGAAGUGAUAACAAAAGGU